UUUCCGUAGGUGAACCUGCGGAAGGAUCAUUCAUAAUAAAGUGUUUUAUGGCACUUUUUAAAAAUCCAUAUCCACCUUGUGUGCAAUGUUAGAUCUCGUCAAUCUUGGCGAGAUUUUUAUACAUCAACUCAUUUUUUAACUAAUUUGUCUGAAAAAUAUUAUGAAUACUUAAUUCAAAAUACAACUUUCAACAACGGAUCUCUUGGCUCUC
rnacentral:misc_RNA from 1 species